rnacentral:rRNA from 1 species
AGGAUGUUGGCUUAGAAGCAGCCAUUCAUUUAAAGAGUGCGUAACAGCUCACUGGUCAAGCGGCUUUGCACCGAAAAUUUCAGGGGCUUAAACUUGUUACCGAAGCUGCGGAUUGUUCUCGUUUACGAGGAUAGUGGUAGGGGAGCGUUCUAUAGUAGGUUGAAGGAGAAUUGAAAAACUCUCUGGACAAAUUAGAAGUGAUCAUGCCGGCAUGAGUAGCGAUAAAACAAGUGAGAAGCUUGUUCGCCGUAAGCCUAAGGUUUCCUGUGGAAGGCAAGUCCACACAGGGUUAGUCGCGUCCUAAGUCGAGGCUGAAGAGCGUAGACGAUGGGUAACAGGUUAAUAUUCCUGUACCACCACCAGGCGAUUGAAUCUAGGAGAGACGCAAACAUUAGAAUCUACUAGCGGAUGGAAGUGCUAGGUCAAGCGGACGGAGGUUCCGGUUAAUCCCGGAAAUUACCUCUGAAAGUGAUGAGGUGUCCUUAAGGACUGAACUGGUUCGGUUGUUUGCCAAGAAAAGAACUCCGAGAGGACAAAUGGUGGUGUGCGUACCGCAAACCGACACAGGUAGGCAAGGAGAAUAUCCUAAGGCGCUCGAGAGAACUCUCGCUAAGGAACUCGGCAAAAUGGCUCCGUAACUUCGGGAGAAGGAGCGCUUGAGUUGGCUGGUUCGCCAGUCUAGCGAAAGCCGCAGUGAAAAGGCCCAUACGACUGUUUACUAAAAACACAGGUCUGUGCUAAAUCGUAAGAUGAUGUAUACGGACUGACGCCUGCCCGGUGCUGAAAAGUUAAGGAGAGGGGUUAGAGCUUAGGCUCGAAGCUCUGAACCGAAGCUUCAGUAAACGGCGGCGGUAACUAUAACCGUCCUAAGGUAGCGAAAUUCCUCGUCGGGUAAAAUCCGACCUGCACGAAUGGCGUAACGAUAUGGGCACUGUCUCAGCGAGAGACUCGGUGAAAUUGUAUUAUCGGUGAAGAUGCCGAUUACCCGUAAAAAGACGGAAAGACCCCGUGAACCUUUACUAUAGCUUGAUAUUGAAUUUGGGUUUAGCUUGUGUAGGAUAGGUGGGAGACUUUGAAGCUGGAGCGCUAGCCCCAGUGGAGUCGUCCUUGAAAUACCACUCUUGUUGUAUCUAAAUCCUAACUCUGGUUUGUAUAUCCAAGCCGAGGACAGUGUCAGGUGGGUAGUUUGACUGGGGCGGUCGCCUCCUAAAGCGUAACGGAGG